CAACAAUCUCUUCCUUUUCUCUCUUCCUCGCCAUUUUCACACACAAAACCCUCGACCCCCCCAUUCCCACCACCGGUGGCGGCUCAAACAGAUAAACCCCAUAACUACCACAAAUCUGAACCCCAAACAACAGUCACAAAAUAAAAAUAAAGCUAAUGAUUUACCCUUUUCGAGAUUGUCCUUCUUCCGAUCUUCGGACUUUUCCGAUUUGUUUUCUAAUCUCGUGUUCUUCUUCUUGCUUAUAGGUGACCGUAGCGGUAGAUAA